UAUUGGACAAUGGGCCCAAGCCUGAUCCAGCCAUGCCGCGUGGAUGAUGAAGGCCCUAGGGUUGUAAAGUCCUUUCGGCGGGGAAGAUAAUGACGAUACCCGCAGAAGAAGCCCCGGCUAACUUCGUGCCAGCAGCCGCGGUAAUACGAAGGGGGCUAGCGUUGCUCGGAAUCACUGGGCGUAAAGCGCACGUAGGCGGCUUUUUAAGUCAGGGGUGAAAUCCUGGAGCUCAACUCCAGAACUGCCUUUGAUACUGAGAAGCUUGAGUCCGGGAGAGGUGAGUGGAACUGCGAGUGUAGAGGUGAAAUUCGUAGAUAUUCGCAAGAACACCAGUGGCGAAGGCGGCUCACUGGCCCGGUACUGACGCUGAGGUGCGAAA
rnacentral:rRNA from 1 species